rnacentral:rRNA from 1 species
AGAGUUUGAUCAUGGCUCAGAUUGAACGCUGGCGGCAUGCCUUACACAUGCAAGUCGGACGGCAGCGCGGGGGCAACCCUGGCGGCGAGUGGCGAACGGGUGAGUAAUACAUCGGAACGUGUCCUGGAGUGGGGGAUAGCCCGGCGAAAGCCGGAUUAAUACCGCAUACGCUCUAUGGAGGAAAGCGGGGGAUCUUCGGACCUCGCGCUCAAGGGGCGGCCGAUGGCAGAUUAGCUAGUUGGUGGGGUAAAGGCCUACCAAGGCGACGAUCUGUAGCUGGUCUGAGAGGACGACCAGCCACACUGGGACUGAGACACGGCCCAGACUCCUACGGGAGGCAGCAGUGGGGAAUUUUGGACAAUGGGGGCAACCCUGAUCCAGCAAUGCCGCGUGUGUGAAGAAGGCCUUCGGGUUGUAAAGCACUUUUGUCCGGAAAGAAAACCUCCGUCCUAAUACGGUGGGGGGAUGACGGUACCGGAAGAAUAAGCACCGGCUAACUACGUGCCAGCCGCCGCGGUAAUAC